GCUUAUCCUCAACAGCGCCAUCAGAAGUAAGAUUCCUAAGAUUGAGCAAUGACCCAUAUAAACUCUUGCACAAAUUAGUCCUCUCAUUGUGAUACAAACCAAUACAAGAACAAUUACCUAGACAUUCUCUCUCACAUUCAUUUCUAGUUCCAGAAACUGAAACUACCCUUGCUCCAUCAUAUCCAACCAUUCCAACCUCCUCAAACCUAUCAUUCUCACCACAAACUUCAUUACUCUCGCGGCGACAGCCACCCGAAAAAUCCCCUGCAUCCCAUGAAUCACCAUCCAAAGGGGUGAACCCUGGUAAACACUUACAUGGAUUCAAUGACUUACUAUUACAGAACCCCAAAUUCCCACAA
rnacentral:misc_RNA from 1 species